rnacentral:rRNA from 1 species
UGGGGAAUAUUGCACAAUGGAGGGAACUCUGAUGCAGCGACGCCGCGUGAACGAAGAAGGCUUUCGAGUCGUAAAGUUCUUUUAUAUGGGAAGAUAAUGACGGUACCAUAAGAAAAAGCCCCGGCUAACUACGUGCCAGCAGCCGCGGUAAUACGUAGGGGGCUAGCGUUGUCCGGAAUUAUUGGGCGUAAAGGGCUUGUAGGUGGCUGGUUGCGUCUGUCGUGAAAGCUCAUGGCUUAACUGUGGGUUUGCGGUGGGUACGGGCUGGCUUGAGUGCAGUAGGGGAGGCUGGAAUUCCUGGUGUAGCGGUGGAAUGCGCAGAUAUCAGGAGGAAUACCGGUGGCGAAGGCGGGUCUCUGGGCUGUUACUGACGCUGAGGAGCGAAAGCGUGGGGAGCGAACAGG